UCUCCUCCGCCCAUCUCUCCCUCCCACCUGCCCCUCCUCUUCCUAUUCCAGAGUAAGGCCUCUCUAUACAAGUUUCUAGAAUGGUGCUGUCCAGGAGCGGUAGCCGCUAGCCACAGACGGCCAUUCAUACUUAAAUUUUUACCAGGUCAGCGCUUGAGGAGAGCGGCUGUCAAACCAGGAGGGAGCCCCUGGCCGUGACCCCCCUCCCCCUAUGGUGUCUGCAACCACAGGGCCGCAAGCCACACACCCUGGCUCUCUCUCCACCCCAGCUUAUCCCCAGAGCCCCUCGAGACGUCGCCUGGCUCCCACAUACCACUCAGGUCUCAGCUCCGAUGCCACCAGCAGUCGAUGUCACAUCACCCUGUUUAGUUUACAGGGCACUCAUCGCCAUCAGCAGUUUUCUUGUUUACGGCACGUCUCACUGGAAUGUGAGUGGCGGGAGGACAGGUCACCUGAUGUGUUCGCUGGUAUCUACUGUGGGGCCCAGAAAGUUCUUGGCACACAGCUGAUGAAUGUCAGAUGAAUGUCACCUCUCCUCGGAGUAUCUUUUUAGGGACUUCAGGAAAUCCAAUGAUAAAUCCAACAGAAGAAGAGCUUAUGACGAGGCUUUAUGGAAUCCUGAAAUAAAAAAUAAGUCUUUGGUCAUGGAAGAGUGAAGGCCGGUUGAGACUCCACUACAUAAAAUGCUGCUGUCCCUAAUCCUCUGCGGCUGGUACCCCAAGCACCUCGACACCGGUGAUAGGAGAAGGAAGUCAAACCCACAUACAGUCUCACAAGGGGUUUUGCUCUACGUGCAGAGUCUGGAGCCAGAGAGCUUAGUUCUAAAUUCUGACUCUGCGGCCUUCUAGCCAUGUGACCUGGGGCCUGACCUGAAGAGCAGUAUGGCCCUGGGGCCCUUGUCCGAGAAACUAUUCCCAAGUCUGAUGUAAACACAGACGUACGUGCAAGCCACAAGAGCAUGCUUCAGUGACUAGAUAAGGCAAUGUCUCAGUCCAUUUGGUCCGCUGUUACAGAAUACCAUAGACUGGGUGCUGAUAAACAACAGAAAUUGUUCUGGAGGCUGGAAAGUCCAAGAUGAAGCCUCCAGCACCUUCAGUGUCUGGAGUUGAGUUAUCCUUUAAUUACCUGGACUUGCUGGUUGGAGUUGUUGUGUUCACUGAAGCCUUGCUCAUGUUGGCUAUUGACCUCAAUGUGGCUCUUGACUAGAACCUACAUUAAGAAGGAAAAUUCUGUGGGUCAGAAUGUGGCACCGCAGGAGCGCCGGCCUAUAGCACCUGCUUUUGACCUGAUGGACCUCUGCAGACACCUUCCCUUCAACUUCUACCAGCCUAAGCCCCAUGCAAAGGUUCCAGAUGGUGCUCAAGGCAAGAAUGUUUCUCAAAACAGGGGACUGCAGGUGUGGGUAGAGCAAUCAGAGAGGCUUUGGGCAUAGCUACUGCCUCUAGAAAGGAGGGCAGGAGUGGAGUUAUCCUUUGGAGGUAAAAACCUCACUGUCAGGUGACACACUCAUGAAUUUAGGAAGAACUACCUUGAUUCUGAUCUUGCCUGUCACUUCUUUAUGAUUCCAACUGUGUUGUGGUUCCCGACUCUCCCUGGGGAGGAGGUCUGUGUGCUUUUGGGGGGCGGGGGGAGAGGAGGUUUGCAUCAAGACUCAGUUUAUAAUCCCAGCAAAGGGCCGAGGUAGACUUCUGGUGACCCAGACACUUGAGGUGAUGAGUGUGGUCCACAGGAGGUGUCCACAGGAGCAGCAUGCACAUGGUACCAACUUACGAAGUUGAAUGAGUUUAUCAAUGGACAGGCUAGGGAACUGUUAAACUCCCCUAAAAGAAGAGGGUGAGAACUCUUGAUUCUUUUUCCUUCAUACUUGGUUGUUUUUUUAUUCGAUUAUGAAUUUUUUUUAUGGAGAGAGUCUUCUGUUCUUAUUCCGUUUGCAUCACCACAUGUGCCAGGUUUUACUACAGCCUUAGAGCUUAACCCUAAAUAAAAAAGAAACCCUUUUGUAUAUUAAAAGAAA